rnacentral:misc_RNA from 1 species
AGGGAAGGUGAUAACCAGCUUCUCUACUGAUAGCAGUGGUGGGCUAAAGGCGAACAAUGGGUUCUUUACUGCUUGUAGAACUCUUAAGACGCAGGGGAAGCUCCAUGGCAUCUUUGUUUGGUCGGCCGAUGACUCGAAGAGUGGUGGUUUCACGUAUGAGAGGCAGGCGCAGACACUGCUGGCCAGCUGAGCUUACAGCGUUGUACUCAAUCAUCUCUCCGGCUUAGAACUCGAUCAAUCAUGUCGGUAAAUCUAGUAUGAGGUUAUCCUCGACACUAGUUAGAUGAUGAUGGAGUGUGUGUAAUGCGCCUAGCUUAAAUAAAAGGCAGAGGUUGAAAAAAAUCUAUAAUGGUCG